UCGAGCGGAUGAAGGGAGCUUGCUCCUGGAUUCAGCGGCGGACGGGUGAGUAAUGCCUAGGAAUCUGCCUGGUAGUGGGGGAUAACGUCCGGAAACGGGCGCUAAUACCGCAUACGUCCUGAGGGAGAAAGUGGGGGAUCUUCGGACCUCACGCUAUCAGAUGAGCCUAGGUCGGAUUAGCUAGUUGGUGGGGUAAAGGCCUACCAAGGCGACGAUCCGUAACUGGUCUGAGAGGAUGAUCAGUCACACUGGAACUGAGACACGGUCCAGACUCCUACGGGAGGCAGCAGUGGGGAAUAUUGGACAAUGGGCGAAAGCCUGAUCCAGCCAUGCCGCGUGUGUGAAGAAGGUCUUCGGAUUGUAAAGCACUUUAAGUUGGGAGGAAGGGCAGUAAGUUAAUACCUUGCUGUUUUGACGUUACCAACAGAAUAAGCACCGGCUAACUUCGUGCCAGCAGCCGCGGUAAUACGAAGGGUGCAAGCGUUAAUCGGAAUUACUGGGCGUAAAGCGCGCGUAGGUGGUUCAGCAAGUUGGAUGUGAAAUCCCCGGGCUCAACCUGGGAACUGCAUCCAAAACUACUGAGCUAGAGUACGGUAGAGGGUGGUGGAAUUUCCUGUGUAGCGGUGAAAUGCGUAGAUAUAGGAAGGAACACCAGUGGCGAAGGCGACCACCUGGACUGAUACUGACACUGAGGUGCGAAAGCGUGGGGAGCAAACAGGAUUAGAUACCCUGGUAGUCCACGCCGUAAACGAUGUCGACUAGCCGUUGGGAUCCUUGAGAUCUUAGUGGCGCAGCUAACGCGAUAAGUCGACCGCCUGGGGAGUACGGCCGCAAGGUUAAAACUCAAAUGAAUUGACGGGGGCCCGCACAAGCGGUGGAGCAUGUGGUUUAUUCGAGCACGCGAGAACCUUACCU
rnacentral:rRNA from 2 species